UACGUAGGGUGCAAGCGUUGUCCGGAAUUAUUGGGCGUAAAGAGCUCGUAGGCGGCUUGUCGCGUCGGCUGUGAAAACCUGGGGCUCAACCCCGGGCCUGCAGCCGAUACGGGCAAGCUAGAAUUCGGUAGGGGAGACUGGAAUUCCUGGUGUAGCGGUGAAAUGCGCAGAUAUCAGGAAGAACACCCGUGGCGAAAGCGGCUCUCUGGAACGGUACUGACGCUGAGACGCGAAAGCGUGGGGGGCGAACAGG
rnacentral:rRNA from 1 species